GCAUCUGUGCAUGCAGCAUAUCAAUAAGCGGAGGAAAAGAAACUAACAAGGAUUCCCCUAGUAACGGCGAGUGAAGCGGGAAGAGCUCAAAUUUGAAAUCUUAAAGGGUUUCCCUUUACGAAUUGUAGUUUAAAGAAGUGUUUUCUGUUGAGGUUUUGGUAAAAGUUCUUUGGAAUAGGACAUCAUAGAGGGUGAGAAUCCCGUAUUUGACCUUUACUUUCAACUUUGUGAUACACUUUCAAAGAGUCGGAUUGUUUGGGAAUGCAGUCCAAAAUGGGUGGUAAAUUUCAUCUAAAGCUAAAUAUUGGCGAGAGACCGAUAGCGAACAAGUACCGUGAGGGAAAGAUGAAAAGAACUUUGAAAAGAGAGUUAAACAGUACGUGAAAUUGUCAAAAGGGAAGCGUUUGACACCAGUGUUGUUUUUCUGAAAAUCAAUUAAAGAACUGUUUAUGCUAAGUUGUUUAGACUUUAUCAGCUAUCUGUUUAGUUUUGAGCUUUUCUUUAAUGCACUUUUCAGUUAACAAGUCAACAUCAAUUUCUUUUGCUGUAAAAAAGCUUGAGGAAGGUGGCUUGAGAUUCGUCUUAAGUGUUUAUAGCCUCUUGCCUAUGCAGUCGGAGAGAUUGAGGUCUGCAGCGUAGAUCCUUCGGGGCUAAAUGCAUCUGUGCUAAGUUAUAGCAUUUUAUAGACAACUUGUUGACUAUGAUUUGUCUUGUAGCUUACUCGCUUAUGUUAUUUUACCUACGCUUAGGAUGUUGAGUCAUCACACAUCUCU
rnacentral:rRNA from 1 species